GUCGAAAUAAAUAAAAAAAAUUAAAAAAUGGUCCAGUAGCACCUUAGAGACCAACUAAAUUUGUUCUGGGUAUAAGCUUUCGUGUAUCUGAGGAAGUUUGCAUGCACAGAAAAGCUUAUACCCAGAACAAACUUAGUUGGUCUCUUAGGUGCUACUGGACAAUUUAUUUAUUUAUUUAUUUCGAC